UGCCGGUCCUCUCGCGGCAGAUCUCUGUAAACCCCGCCAGGCCCGGAAGGGAGCAACGGUAGCAGCAGGUUUGGGCGCCGGGAUGUGGCUGGCACGG
rnacentral:SRP_RNA from 2 species